ACACUUAGGGAGAAUGCAAGAUUUCUGGCAUGGAGCUGCUUAUUUUUCUAAAUCUAAUGGAUCUGCUAUGAGAGACAGUAUAGAAUACAGAAUUCGUCAAAAACCCAGGCUAAUCUACAAUCAGAAAAAGAAAAGCCUUUCAUUUGUGGACUCCAGCUAAAGGAAGGAAGCUUUUGUAUGGGGAUUCACCGGAGACCAAAAUAUUAAAAAGUGGAAGAGGAAAACCAUAUGUUGCCGUUCUCCUAAGCGAACAGUUCAAAGUUCUGGCUAAAGCAAUGCUUGAGUUCAUUAUACAGAAAAAUACAGGAAACACGUGGCACAAAACAUGGAAUUUAAAGUGGUUACAACAAAAUUCUAUCAGGAACAGCUUCAAAUUGUGGACAAUUGGGUACCAUUUGCCACUGAAGACAGGCUUGUACCUAAGAGAAAGAAUUCAUCAGAAGACCAAGGAAACUUUCUCUUUUAAUGCCCAGAAGAUGCAUCAUUAACCUCUUCUCUGUGGCAAAUCAAGCAGUAUGGGAUAAUGAUGAGCCUCUCAGAGAGUCUCUCCUAAAGACUAAC
rnacentral:lncRNA from 12 species